rnacentral:misc_RNA from 1 species
GAAGCGCAAUUUUCUCCUGCGUUAUACACGUAAACAUAUAUAUAUAUUUUACAUCACACUGCUCACUGUACCGCCGUGCUUGCGCUCGCGUUCGUUUUGGUUUUGUGUGCGUGCGCGUGUGUGUACGUGAGCUUGCUUGUGUGCCCUCACCGAGCUGCGGCUGUCUUCUGUCUUCCUCCUUUCUUGUAUAGGCAUUGCUUCACGUACGUGUAUGCUUGCGUGUGCGUGUGUCGGUGCACACACUUUUUGUUAUCGUUUCACUCACAACCACUUGCGAGGUGCCAGCGACACUGCUCAUCUGCUGCUGCGCGCUCCUUUCUCUUGUUACUUCGUCUUCCUGUGAAGCGACAACCGAGUCCAGAGCAGCAACUGAGAACCAUGUCCGCAGUCGCUCACGAGUUUGAGACACCUGCUGAGGUGAGCCCGGCUGGCCAGAAUGGGAUCAACAUGACUGCGGGACCGCCUGCCCGUGAGGAUGGCUUUAGCGUCUCGGCUACAGAGCUCGCUUCUAAGGCGCAUCCCAAUCGCGCCAUUCAGUCCACAGUCUCAGUGCCGCACACGCGGAUUUUGAGCCGCCCAUCCGCCGGCGGACUGCACUUCUCUGAUGCCGGGAGGACUGCCGCAGCUGGCUCUGCGAACGGCGGCAAAUCGCACGCGGUGCCCUACGAGGGCACGGUGGUGCAUCCAUCGUCGCGCGGUCGCGUUUCGAGGUCUGGAGCUGGUGCAGGUGCGGCUGCCAGCGCAGCUGAGGCAAAGGCCGUCAUGCAGCUGGCCGCUGAGAAGGCGAAGGCUGCUAAGGCACAGUCUCCCCAGGAGACCACUGCGGCUGACCACACAGUCAUGGCUGCGAGGGGAAAAAAGAGGGUGCCGGGACCGCACCUCAAGCACGCGCGCUUGCAGAAAGCACACGAGUCCUACGCAACAGUCGCGGCUGCGAGCGACAGUGGGGCCGGCGCCGUCAAGACGGCGUCUCGUCGGCGCCGCCGCAACGGAAACACCGCAGGGGCUGAGGGCAGGCGGCCGCCACAUUCCCAGACCGCGGGGCAGGGCACUGUCAAGGCGACCAACCCAAAAAAGACUGUGAGGGUAUCCAAAAAGACGCAGGACGAGAACGGCAGGUCUCACUGCAUGGAGCCGGCCGCCAGCUCGCAAGAGUCUGCGAAGAGGAAGACGGCAGCGGCUACGACAGCCGAGGCUGCCGCUGCGGCAAAAGGUUCCCCGAAGCAAAAGCCUGCCAAGAAAGCGAUCCCGGCUGCUGCUGCUGCUACGACUAACGCUAAGAGCGCGGAGCACGGUGCCGCUGCACAGUCGCAGACAGAGAAGUCUGCGGCGGCAGCGGAGGCGCCAGCGGAUCAGGCGUGCGCCGACAAGAAGAACAUCGUAGAGGAAGCCACGGCUGAGGUCGAUGGGGUGCUGAGCGCUCCUGCAGGGGAGAAGGAGGCCGCUGCUGCGGCCAAGCACGCGGAUCCGGAGGCGACAGAUGCUAAGGAGGAACCUGCCGAGCAGCCCGAGGAGGAUGCGACUGAACUUUAAAGCGUAGUAGUGCCCCCGCUGUGCUCUCCGGUGCAUAUCUGACAUAGAGAGCAAGAGUGCGGGUUGCUUGGCCGCAUGCGGGGGUAGGGGCAUGGCUUUCGCGUAACUCGUUCUCUCCUUGUCUCUGUCGUUCAUGUCUCCCCUGGACUCGCAGCCGACACAUGCGGACACGGUGGAAAGCAGCUGAAGCUGGAUGCAGCGUCCUCUGCUCCCUCCUGACGAAUUCGAGCAGUCCGCACCUUACAGACCCACACGACAACAAGCACAAAAAAGCGGAUACAUGCACCAACACCUGUUUUUCCUUCCCGGUAUCCUUGCCAUGCGCGCUUCUCUUUUCGUUGUGCCCUUUCAGGAAGCUGUGCCGCGGCCGGAGCGGUGUGAGUGGUUUGUAAGAGUGGCCAGGAGGCGGGUGGCGGUGGUGAGGCGGUGGCAUGCACGUUUGCGGCUCCGUAGUUGUCUUUGGCCUCUUAGAUGAGAUGACGCGUCACUCCUUUUGCGUGCGCUGCGUGGUGACUCUUCGCUUGAAUGGUUGUAUCUAUCUAUCUAUCUAUAUAUAUAUAUAUAUAUAUAUGUAUAUGCUUAUGCUGACUUUUUGUGGUUCCUUCGACUCGUUUUUUUUUUUUUGGAAGCACGUAAGCGUAGUCUUCUCUCUACACCCGCAGCUAUAUCUAUAUAUAUAUAUGUUCAUGUAUGUAUAUACGUCGAUAUCUGUCUGUCUGUGCCCCUCCACCUUCCUCUUUUCGGGGUGGUUGGUGGAGGUGGUCGGGGGUUCUUUCGGUAUCUCUCCGCUGCGCCCGUUUCUUAUGUGUUUUCUCUUUCAAUGCCGCCUUUUCACUUCCGCGUGAAGUUCAUGAGAAGUACCUCAUUUCUGCGCUGAAGGGGGCGUCUGAGUCGCUGUGGGUGGCGCCUCAGCUGAAAAGAAAGCGAACGCGAAGAAGCGUUUUCUCUUACUCUGUGCUGCCCCAGCCCUGUCGGAGCCCUUACAGGGAGGUGAUGCGCCGCGGCGUUAGCUGAGCGGGGCCGCUCCUCACCUCGGCUGUACAUCUUGGCGCUGCCAAAGUUUCCUUGUCGACCACGCGUGUGCACGGCAUACCUCCAGCAAGCCUGCGCUGCCCUUCCUCAUCUUUGGUGCAUGGAAGGAACACGCACACACACACACAC